GGAGAGAUGUCCGAGCUUGGUCGAAGGAGCACGAUUGGAAAUCGUGUAGGCGGGAAACCGUCUCAGGGGUUCGAAUCCCCUUCUCUCCGCCA
rnacentral:tRNA from 1 species